GGCGAGAUGGGCGAGCGGUCUAAGGCGCUGGUUUAAGGCAACAGUCUCUUCGGAGGCGUGGGUUCGAAUCCCACUCUGGUCA
rnacentral:tRNA from 1 species